rnacentral:rRNA from 1 species
AACGAACGCUGGCGGCGCGCCUAACACAUGCAAGUCGAACGAGAAGGCGUAGCAAUACGCUUGUAAAGUGGCGAACGGGUGAGGAAUACGUGGGUAACCUACCCUCGAGUGGGGAAUAACCAACCGAAAGGUUGGCUAAUGCCGCGUACGCUUCCAUCUCUUCGGAGGUGGAAGGAAAGCUGUACCGUGGGUACAGCGCUCAAGGAUGGGCUCACGUCCUAUCAGCUUGUUGGUAGGGUAACGGCCACCAAGGCAACGACGGGUAGCUGGUCUGAGAGGACGAUCAGCCACACUGGCACUGCGACACGGGCCAGACUCCUACGGGAGGCAGCAGUGAGGAAUAUUGCGCAAUGGGCGAAAGCCUGACGCAGCGACGCCG